AUGACCCACGAGAAAGGGAAAGGGGAAAACACCAAUCCUGCGCUGGGCUUUUUCGACUUUUCCUUUAAAAAGAAAAAAGUUUUUCAAGCUGUAGGUUCCAAGAACCGGCAGGAGGGGGGCGAGGCGGGGUGGGGGGGUGUACAGAAAAGGCGCCUGGUCGGUUAUGAGUCACAAGUGGGUUAUAAAAGGGUCGCACGUUCGCAGGCGCGGGCUUCCUGUGCGCGGCUGAGCCGGGGCGCAGCGCGACGGUCCCAUCGGGCGGCCUCCACCCUCGGGACGCGAGCGGAGCGCCGAGCCCAGCGGCGAUCACGCGACGCGGGGAAGGAAGGAAGAUCUCUCCUUUCAAAGAUAACUAGCCAAAUGAACAUAAUAAACAAGUCCAAGCAGUUGGAGGGGCGGCCGCCACCCCACCGUCUCCAAAUAACUGAUUCGCAUUUCCGAGACGGUUCACCUGAAGCCUUGCCUGCCACCUUGGUUCUCCCACCUGAAGGAGAUGGUUCUAAUGGUGGUGCAAACCAGGAAGGGGAAAUCUGUGGUUUACGUUCUCUGUGCCUCAUCCCUCUCGGAGAGCUGGAGGCUUGCUGGAGGCUAUAUGCUGUUAAUGCUAAUUGUGAUAGGGGUUUUUACCUCCGUCUGACUCCUACAUGUUAG
rnacentral:lncRNA from 1 species